GCACACUUCACUUCUCACAGCAGGUAAGGCGUAUGAAAGUUAUUUUUAACCACAGUAGCACCAGUGUUAAAGUGAAGCUACACCGGAAUAAUUUAGGUUUUGAUAUUCUUAGGGUUGAAAAGUAGGAAUACUGCUGAACUGCAAGCAAGUGUUAGGCACGAUGAUGCAGCUGAACACUAUACGGUUUGCAGUUUUAUGUUACCUUACGAUUUUGGCGGGUGCAUCAACUUACACAGAGGAAGAUCUAGUAGAUAUGCUGAAAGAUGGUUUCAGAAAUGUUGAUAGAGAGACAAUUGAUGGUGAAGUUACGGUAGAAUAUGGAAGUAUACCGGCGUGGCUAUCAGGAAACUUUAUGCGUCAUGCUUGUGGUGUAUUCGGUGAAACUGACAACAUGAAUGACACGUUACCAAAUUACAUUGAACAUCUGUUUGAUUGUAUGGAAAUUGGCAGCAAGUUCCGUGUGGAAAAUGGCAAGAUCACAUUUACACAGAGAUGGUACGACACUACUCUUAAUGAUAUAUAUAAUAUCUAUGGUCGGGAAAUGAACGAAUCGAGCUUCUUCAUACAGUCCGUAUUCUCAAAAGUAAAUAAAGCACAGUUUGACAAAUGGGAGGCAAAUUUAUCUGAUACAUCAAAAGUUGCACAGGUACCUUCUGUAAGCUGGUGGCAGAUUGGCAAUGAAGCUGUAGCCAUGACGGAAAUUCCCAUUGGUGUAAUCAUCGACACUCAUGGUGUUUCCCAGAAAGGAUGGAUACAGUAUAAAGAUAAUAAUAUGGGAAUACCGGACACACCACAGUACGGCUUCACAAACAAUCCGGCUCAUGAGCACACGGAAUCAGACGGAACACUAUGGAGUGCUUUGGUUGUCACGAACUUUGUCUCAAAAACUCGUCUUAAGAUAAGACGACUAGUGUAUAAAGUGGGUGCCGACAAAUUUCGACAUGUAGUUGGAACUUACAACUAUGAGGACGCAGAUCUCAGUAGAUGCAAGGGACACAACCCAUACCCCGACUUCAGUUCCAGAUUCGGAUACAUGCACUCGUUCAGCAUGACUGAAAACUAUAUAAUCCUACCGGAAACAGCAUACAUGCACGAUCCCUGUUUCUAUAGACAUUAUGAAAAAUACGCGCCAUUUUUUCAACAAGGUUUUCGUUAUGAACCUAGUGGAUUCACGAAACUGUUGGUGAUGCGGAAGUCUGAUGGAGUAUUUAUUGCUAACAUCACCAUGCCGCCGUUCUUUGUAACUCAUCAGGUAGGAUCUUACGAAGACGGAGACCUGAUACACAUGGAUAUGCUUACAUACAAAGAUGCUGAUAUCUACACGGUGUCCACAUAUAUAAAAAACCUUAAUACACCAUACACUACCAAUGUCUCAAGAGUAACAAUCAAUAUGACAGACUUCACAGCGAGCAUGCGCAGUCUGAGAAAUCCAGCACGUGACCCCGCUGCUUUCGAGAUGUCAAACAUAAACUAUGCUUAUAAUGGAAAGAAAUACAAGUACGGAUACAUGGCAAGAAAUUUUAAUCGGAAAGAAAGAAAUGCAAUAACAAAGCUCAACGUAGAUACAGGGGAGGAAAUCCAGUACACAUUUCCCGAGGGAAUGUUUGUCCAGGAACCCCAGCUCGUCCCCAGACCAAACUCCACUGCUGAAGACGACGGUGUAGUUAUAGCACAAGGCGUAGAUGGCCGUAAACAUAAAGGUAUGGUAUAACCAGAGACUGUGGCAGCGUAGAUGGCCGUAAACAUAAAGCAUUCAUGGUAAUAGUUGACGCCAAGACAAUGAAUUUGAUAGGUCAUGUGACCGCUCCCGAUCUCGCCUUGUUUGGUCUACAUAACAGAUUUUAUCCUCUCGAUGGUGGGAGGACAUAUGUUACGGACACAG
rnacentral:misc_RNA from 1 species